UACGGGGGGGGCAAGCGUUGUUCGGAAUUACUGGGCGUAAAGGGCUCGUAGGCGGCCAACUAAGUCAGACGUGAAAUCCCUCGGCUUGACCGGGGAACUGCAUCUGAUACUGGAUGGCUUGAGUUCGGGAGAGGGAUGCGGAAUUCCAGGUGUAGCGGUGAAAUGCGUAGAUAUCUGGAGGAACACCGGUGGCGAAGACGGCAUCCUGGACCGACACUGACGCUGAGGAGCGAAAGCCAGGGGAGCAAACGGG
rnacentral:rRNA from 1 species